rnacentral:lncRNA from 1 species
GGUAUAUAUCAUAUAUAUCCUAUAGUUCUGUAUGGUAUAUGUCAUGUAUAUCCUAUAGUUCUGUAUGGCAUAUAUCAUGUAUAUUUUAUAGUUCUGUAUGGUAUAUGUCAUGUAUAUCCCAUAGUUGUCACGUUUAUAGUCGAGGGCUGGAAUAUGCCACUAUUCCUUACAUUUGUAUGGCUUCUCACAACAUAAUUUAUUGUGAGAGCUGCUUUUGCCAGCUUCUUUCUACCGAGCCUGCUCCCUUGAUCUGCUCCUCGGGUGUGCAGACGAUGAUCAUGUGAUGGCAGGAUGGUGUCCUUGUCUCUUAGCUGAGCCGAUGUGAUAACAGUUAUUUAACUAGAAGGGCAAGCAGCUGUCCCUGUGCCCAGCACCAGGGAAGUCAGAGCCACUGAACAACACUCACUAUUGCUAGGGUAGAAUUAGCUUGGUUACAGCUGAUCAUUUGUUAUAUCUACUUGAAAGUAUCUCAAAUUUGCUGUAUGUGUCAUCUUGAUAGCAGUGCACACGUCAGCCACAGCUUGCAUAAGUAAACUAUUUAAGUUAAUGUGAUAGCUUGGAUGAAAGGUUGGGCUAUUAAAUCAGUAUUAAGUGUAUUACAACAUGUAACUAGUUGCAAGUAGGCUGGUUCUUGCAUGGAGUCUGUCUAAACACAGAAAACAUCAGUGUUAAGAUUCAGGAAGUGUGUGUGUGACACCCGUGUGAGUCCCGUUUGGCCUUGAGUACUUACCACUCGUGUGAGUACCAGGUGGCCUUGAGUGCUUACCACCCAUGUGAGUACCAGGUGGCCUUGAGUGCUUACCACCAAUGUGGGUAUCAGGUGGCCUUAGUGCUUACCACCCAUGUGAGUACAAGGUGGCCUUGAGUGCUUACCACCCGUGUUAGUACCAGGUGGCCUUGAGUGCUUACCACCCAUGUGAGUACCGAGUGGCGUUGAGUGCUUACCACCCAUGUGAGUACCGAGUGGCCUUGAGUGCUUACCACCCAUGUGGGUACCGAGUGGCCUUGAGUGCUUACCACCCAUGUGAAUACCGAGUGGCCUUGAGUGCUUACCACCCAUGUGAGUACUGGGUGGCCUUGAGUGCUUACCACCCAUGUGAGUAUCAGGUGGCCUUAGUGCUUACCACUCGUGUGAGUACCGAGUGGCCUUGAGUGCUUACCACCCAUGUGAGUACCGAGUGGCCUUGAGUGCUUACCACCAAUGUGGGUAUCAGGUGGCCUUAGUGCUUACCACCCAUGUGAGUACAAGGUGGCCUUGAGUGCUUACCACCCGUGUUAGUACCAGGUGGCCUUGAGUGCUUACCACCCAUGUGAGUACCGAGUGGCGUUGAGUGCUUACCACCCAUGUGAGUACCGAGUGGCCUUGAGUGCUUACCACCCAUGUGGGUACCGAGUGGCCUUGAGUGCUUACCACCCAUGUGAAUACCGAGUGGCCUUGAGUGCUUACCACCCAUGUGAGUACUGGGUGGCCUUGAGUGCUUACCACCCAUGUGAGUAUCAGGUGGCCUUAGUGCUUACCACUCGUGUGAGUACCGAGUGGCCUUGAGUGCUUACCACCCAUGUGAGUACCAGGUAGCCUUGAGUGCUUACCACCCAUGUGAGUACCAGGUGGCCUUGAGUGCUUACCACCCAUGUGAGUACCGAGUGGCCUUGAGUGCUUACCACCCAUGUGAGUACCAGGUGGCCUUGAGUGCUUACCACCCAUGUGGGUACCAGGUGGCCUUGAGUGCUUACCAACAAUGUGGGUACCAGGUGGCCUUGAGUGCUUACCACCCAUGUGGGUACCAGGUGGCCUUAGUGCUUACCACCCAUGUGAGUACCGGGGGGCCUUAGUGCUUACCACCCGUGGGACAUUAAACUGGCUCUGUGUGACAUUAAACUGGCUCUGUGGGACAUUAAACUGACUCUGUGGGACAUUAAACUGGCUCCGUGGGACAUUAAACUGACUCUGUGUCACAUGAUUGAUAUAACAGCAAUGUCAGACAGACUCACUAACCCACCCCUUCUUCAUACAAUUUAUACAUAUCAUAAAAUAUUUUCAGAUUAAAAUUGUCUUAAUUUAUAUUUUGAAUAUAUAAGUACCAGUUUGUAAAUCAUUUGGUACAGAUAAUUAGAACAAUAUUUGAAGUGAUGCAAGAUGAAGGGAAAUAGUUUAUUGUUGAGCUCAGGUCCUGCUGCAUCAACAGACUGUUUCGGCCUUAGAUUUAUUGCUACAAACAAUGGGGCAAAGUCCACUCACACUUAGAAGGUUUAGAUAUCAAUAUGGAUUUUGCUAACUCUGAUAUAUACUACUCAAAAGAAGUUGAAGAACACAAUUAUUUCUUCUAUCGUUAAUCGGGGGCAUGGGUGGCCCAGUUGUCUAAGACGCCGCGAUUCGCUGUGCAGAGUUGCGUCCCUUGGGCACGCCAGAAACCUAUUAUUGUGGGUUAAAAUCCCUGUUCGCCCCGAUUAUGUUUCUAGGUUGUCAGCACCAUACCCGUGCUCGUGGGUUUCACCGAAGUGGUAAACGUCCGAGACCUGCAUCACUUCGGGCUUUCCUCCCACAUUAAGCUGACACGCCGUGAUAUAACUGGAAUACUGUUAAAAGCGGCGUUAAACCCAACUCACUCACUCUAUCGUUAAUCUGUCAUGUCAUGUUCUUUAACUUCUUUUGAGUAGUAUAUAUAGAGGUCAAUUCAAUUUUUCACUGGGUUGCAUCCCUUCAGGGCCGUAUCCCAUUAAUGUGGGUUUGAAUCAUAGCCUCGCUCUGAUAAUAAUCACUGGUUUGUCAGCAUCACACCAGGCUCACAAGUUUCACCAAAGAAAUAAACAUGUUAGACCUGCAUCACUUUGGGUAAGCUGACAUGCCAUGAUAUUUCUGUACUGCUGUUAAAAGCAGCCUAAAACGAACUCACUCCUUUAUAGCAAUAUCUGAAGUUGUUGAUCAGAUUUGGGUUGUGUGCAUGACAUAGGGUAGCUGUCUGUAAUGGCAGAUAGGUAGAGAAGGAAUGGGGUAGUUAAGGUGUUAGCUUGUCAUGCCAAAGACCCAGGUUCAUUUCUAUUCAAUGACACUAGGUCAAGGCCAUCACGUGAAGGCUGUAAGGUCAAGGCCAUCAGGUCAAUGUCAUUAGGUUAGGGCCAUCAGGUCAAUGUCAUUAGGUUAGGGCCAUCAGGUCAAGGUCAUCAGGUCAAUGUCAUUAGGUUAGGGCCAUCAGGUCAAUGAAGGCCAUUAGGUCAAGGUCAUUAAGUUAAGGCCAUUCUCAGUGUCCCCUGCUGUGAUGCUGCCGAGAUGCUGCUCAGCUUGAAGCAUCUCUCUGUGUGCAGUGGCAGGGCACAGUGGCUAGUGCUCUGAUCUCCUGGGUUUCAUCAUCGCUGCUAAAUUGUAUCAAUUCCAAGUCGCCCACAGGGAUGACAGCAUUAUUGCAGAAAUCAGAGAAAAAAAUAUGUGCCCUGCAGUGUCCACAGAUCGACCCAUUAGUUAGGACUAGAGGUUCAAUUACUUCGCCAGUUGAUCACUUCAUAUAGCUUUCAGCUUUAGAAAUACUAAUGAUGACCAACAUCUCGGACUGUUGAACAAGAGACAGUUACCGGUACUAUCAAGCAGAAAAUCUUUAAUUACCAUGGCAACUGGCAGAGAUGAUGAGGGAGCUUGCACACACAGUAAUCAGUUUGUUUUAGUUUCGUUUCAUCUUACUUGUUUGCAUUGUCGAAUUGUAAUAAUCCGGCCUGAACAAAAGUGUUUUACCAAAUUUGUUUGGUAGUGAUAUUGACACAAUAUUUAUAUGAUUCCUGCAUUUCAAUUUGAUUAAUGAAAUUGUUAUUGUCACUGUAUCGAUAUUAAACGGAAAGGUUUGAUAUCUGCUAUUUUUGCUUUGAAAGAAGACAUCCCUCUCAUUCAUGUCUAGCAAAUUAAGUCAACAUAUCUGAGAAAAUUCUUGAAUCAAAGUUUUAGAUUUAACCCGGAAAUGGUGACAGGGUUUGCAGGAGAUAUCUCUGCAACAUAGGCUAAGGCAAGAUGACAAUUCUUGUGUUUCUGUGGCCCAGCCAACCCAUAUAUGUAAUUAGUUGCAAAGGAAAAUCACCAAACUAUUUCAACAAGAAAUUAAUUAUUUUAUUUUUUAAAUAUUGACCAAAAUAUGUUAGACUAAUUCCCUUGAAGCCAUGUAACCUAAAACACAAGUGUAUUUGUUUUGGCCUGAGGUACUACUGUCCACCAACUGUUUCCAUCUAUAACCAUAUAUAGCAUUUGUUAUAUAAGUAUGUAUAGGUGUUAGCAAAGACUAUUUUCUGUACAACUGUUUUCAAAUUUAUAACAUAUUGUUAGAGAUUUGUUAAUGUACCGAGUCCAUGUUAGUGCUUCUUCUCAAUCUCACCUUGCUUAUUGAAUGUUUGUAUACUAUAUUUAAUUUAUACUCUUUUAUAUGGACCUGCGUAGGUCAGUCUGCGUCCGUGUGAUAAGGUGUGAUAACUUGAUGAGUUGAAUGACCAUGUGUGUUUUGUACAGAGUUACUCCACUUUGAAUUUAUUGCAUAUUGUCUAAAUUAUUGAGCAUCUUGAGACGUGUUCUUGCAAACCAAUGAUCUGGUGCACCUUCUUCUUUACUUUGAAUUCAGGCUCUUCAAACUGAAGGGUUUGAUCACUCCAGAGUCGUGUUCUUGCAAACCUAUAAUUUAAUAAAUAAUCAGGGUGCACUUUUUUCUUUACAUUUUAUUCAGGUUACCAAUACUGGUGGGUUUGAUCACUCCAAAGAGCCUUGUUCUGGAAAACCAGUAACUACAAAUUAAUAAAUGAUCUGUGCACUUUCCUCUUUACGUUGAAUCCGGUUCCUCGCGCUGAUGGGUUUGGUCCCCUCUGGAGACGGCCGCCAUAUCAUUUACUGGGCAUUAAUGGACAAUAUUCAUGGAUGUUGCGCAAACUCCUGUGUGUGCUUAGUAGAAACUCCAAGACUGUGAUGUUCUGAUUCUCAAAGAUGACAAAGAAAGCCUGACAAGUAUUUAGAAGCAAUAGCACAGAAAUAAUGUUGAAAUAUGGAAUACGGUGGCUAUUGCUUGAUUUCCUCUCUGUAGAAGUUUCACAUAAGUAGAUCAAUGUUAAAAUCAAGUGAUUCACUUGGUUGAAUCAUGGUGAAUCAUUAAGGUCAGGAGCAACUCUUGUCAAGGAAUACACAAGACAUACCGGUAACAGGAAUUGUAUUUUUAUUCAUAGGAAUUCAGUUCUGAAGUUUGAUUUUCUUGUGAUGGAGGAAUUUAUUAGUUUUUGAAAUUGGCAUGUGGUUGACGAUCAUGGUGAAUUAUGCUAUUCAACAUUUGAGAAGGAUCCUGGGCUAUUUCAUUCUGUUAAAUAACUAAAGGGAAGCAACUGAUGUACUUGAAUUGUUUACUUCUAUUAACUUUUAUAGCUGAACAUGACCCAGUUGCCUGGCAACAUGGGAUACUAUUUCUAUGACAUCAACUUCAAGCAGCCAAUCACAGACAUUCAGGUCGCACACUGAGACUAUCCCUUUCAGAUGAUGAGUAGUAUAUCAAGACAGGUUUCAGACAAUGGAGAUGAAGUUAUAAUGAUGUAUUAUGUCCCUGUAGAACAGAUAAAACACCAAAUACUUACUGAGAGGGACUGAAUCACAGCUGGAUUCUUUUGGCUAGCACACUGAGAUGUUUCUGACAGUAUGCUAGCAAAUAUCAACAGGUUGAAUAAUUUGCUGUAGAGCAUCACGCAGAUCAUCCUCUGCAGUCAGGGGCGUAUGUGCAUGAUGUCAGAACCUAUAUUCCUGGGAUCAAGCGCCAUGAUGUCUCAUGAGUCGGUGUCUAUGCAAACAACAGCAUUAUGAACAGUGUUAGAGGUUCUAUCUUUUCCUCUUUUUGGUUGAUGAAAACUACAAAAUUCUUGUUCACUUGUUUUGAGAGAAAAUGACUGGCCUUGUAUUCAUGCACUGAAUGUCUUUUAAAAAAAGACGACUGAGGUAGAUGACCCUACUCGACUGAUCAGGGCCGUCUUAGGCAUGCUCAGUAUUAAUUUGCCAAGACACUGGGUCUCCGCAUUCACAUGGUAAUAUUGAUAAUAAAAUAAUGUUUAACUUUAUAACAUUUGCCAAACUUUAUUCAUUGAAAUUGUCAUUAACAAUAACGGAUUCUUGAAACUUUAACUCCUAAAACAUACUCCUAAACAAGGCUAUUACAGUGACUAUUUGUAGUAAUUUUUGGCUUGUCGUCAUAUUGUCAAUCAAUAACAGCUCUAGUAGAAGAUAGCCAAUUUUUGUAAAUUUGCCCGUGAAUUUUAAAGAACUAUGUACCAAGAGAGCUAUGCUAUUUGACAAUCUGAUACAAGGACUAUGUACCAGGAGAGCUCCAUUGUUUGACAACCGACACAUGGACUAUGUACCAGGUGAGCUCUGCUGUUUGACAACCGACACAAGGACUAUGUACCAAGAGAGCUCCACUGUUUGACAACCGACACACAGACUAUGUACCAGGAGAGCUCUGCUGUUUGACAACCGACACACAGACUAUGUACCAGGAGAGCUCCGCUGUUUGACAACCGACACAAGGACUAUGUACCAGGAGAGCUCCACUGUUUGACAACCGACACACAGACUAUCAACCAGGAGAGCUCCGCUUUUUUACAAUGUGACACAAGGACUAUGUACCAGGAGAGCUCUGCUGUUUGACAACCGACACAAGGACUAUGUACCAAGAGAGCUCCACUGUUUGACAACCGACACACAGACUAUGUACCAGGAGUGCUCUGCUGUUUGACAAUGUGACACAAGGACUAUGUACCAGGAGAGCUCCGCUAUUUGACAACUGACACAAGGACUAUGUACCAGGAGAGCUUGGCUGUUUGACAACCGACACAAGAACUAUGUACCAAGGGAGCUCCGCUGUUUGAUGACCGACACAUGGACUAUGUACCAGGAGAGCUCCCCUGUUUGACAACGGACACAAGGACUAUGUACCAGGAGAACUCCCCUGUUUGACAACUGACACAUGGACUAUGUACCAAGGGAGCUCCGCUGUUUGACAACCGACACAAGGACUAUGUACCAGGAGAGCUCCGCUGUUUGACAAGCGAAACAAGGACUAUGUACCAGGAGAGCUCCGCUGUUUGACAAUGUGACACAAGGACUAUGUACCAGGAGAGCUUCGCUGUUUGACAAGCGACACAAGGACUGUACCAGGAGAGCUCCGCUGUUUGACAACCGACACAAGGACUGUACCAGGAGAGCUCCGCUGUUUGACAAUGUGACACAAGGACUAUGUACCAGGAGAGCUCCGCUGUUUGACAAGCGACACAAGGACUAUGUACCAGGAGAGCUCCGCUGUUUGACAAUGUGACACAAGGACUAUGUACCAGGAGAGCUUCGCUGUUUGACAAGCGACACAAGGACUGUACCAGGAGAGCUCCACUGUUUGACAACCGACACAAGGACUGUACCAGGAGAGCUCCGCUGUUUGACAAUGUGACACAAGGACUAUGUACCAGGAGAGCUCCGCUGUUUGACAAUGUGACACAAGGACUAUGUACCAGGAGAGCUCCGCUGUUUGACAAGCGACACAAGGACUAUGUACCAGGAGAGCUCCGCUGUUUGACAAGCGACACAAGGACUAUGUACCAGGAGAGCUCCACUGUUUGACAAUGUGACACAAGGACUAUGUACCAGGAGAGCUCUGCUGUUUGACAAUGUGACACAAGGACUGUACCAGGAGAGCUCCACUGUUUGACAACCGACACAAGGACUAUGUACCAGGAGAGCUCUGCUGUUUGCUGGAUGCAGGAAUGUAAUUUUGUUGUUAUGGUUAUAUCUGUAUUUUGCAGAUGUAUGUGCUAUAUUGUAACAAGACGAGGAUCUAGGAGUUUUAUUUAUUGCAACACGAAAGAUGUAUAUAGUUAGUUGACAGUUGUCUGAAGAUUCAGUUAAUUUUAGUUCUUUAAAGAUGAUGUAAAGCUGCGGAUAACAUCAGGCUUAGUUGUGCUUUCAUUGACCUGGAUAACCUACAGCUGUGAUAGAUACUGUUAACAGUAUAGAUAUAAGCACAGGGGAGAUUAUCACUGUUGUGGCUGAGAAAGAAAUAUGAUAUUCUGUGCUAUGAAGAUAAAUCUUAGAUCGGUCAUUUACCGGUACAACUUCUUUAAGUUUGGGGGUAUUUUAAGAAAAGUUUAUCAUACAUUUUCUUUAGAAAAGAAUAUCUUCAUUUGAAAAGUAUUUGAAUAGAAAAAUCUUCAUUGUACUUCAAAUAUUAUUUUGUCUGAUUUUCGUUCCUUGUCAUAACAGUGAUUCAAGCCCUGUGCCCACCAGGGAACCACUCAUUUAUCAUUGGGGUGGAGGGACUACCCAGAGAUUAUGGGGAGGGCAAUUACAAUAAAUUAUUUUUGAUGGUGAAUAACAUGGGAAUUAUUGAAGGUAUAAAAACAACACAGGAAAUUGAUCUGUAGUGGUGGCUGAAAAUCUCCCCUCUGAUAAAUGACAGGUUCCCCCCAAUGUAUGGCCCAGUCACACAGAUAUAUUGUCUGUUCAAUCUCUGCCCGCCCACCCACUCCAUUACACCAGAGGUCAGCCAUCCUCAAGAGGGAGCAUGCCUUUUGCUGAAUCAGCUUACAUGCAAAUCAGUUGCUAAUGCCAUGUUUGUCAUCAGCAGGGUUGAUGGUAAAACAUGAAUUUUGUGAUUCCUUCUGUGUGAAUUGGCCAUUGAACAAAUGCCACUAUCUUUCUACUUGGAGCUGAUCAGCAGUCAGUAUUGCAAGAUGUUCAAAAUAUAAGUCUCCAAGACCAGACAUUUGUGUGAAUGAUUUUGAUGAAAUUUUAGAUCUGCAUUUAUAUGUGUUUUUAAUGAAAAUAAGAUGUAAAUGUAUGGUAAGUACAGAGUAUGAGGUUUAUGACUAGCAUUUCGCUGGAAUAAAUUUGAUUGCUUCCACAUUA